GUGAAUAAAAUAGGAGUCGGAGAAGGAAUUGCGAAUAGAAGUGCAUCGCGAGACUGCUGAUGCAGCGGCUCCUGCAGUUGCGGUUCCGUGCUGCCGCCACAUAGGAAUGGCGGAUGAUUUAUGAACUAUCCUUUACAGGCGCCGCAUGGAAUCUAAGCUUCUGUAUCAUAUUAAUACCCUUCCACAGAGUGUUUUGAAAAAAUGUCUGACCAGAAAUUUAUACGUCGUCGGGUGCAAAACCAUGAAGAAAGGCAAAGCGGGGCGCAAGAACCCAACCCAAGUAGAACUUAUCGGGUUUCCAUACACCCUUUCCCAGAGGCGAUUCUCCCCUUACGAAUGCUGGCCCUGAAGAGCGGAUGUACACCCAGCAGAUGUCCGAACCAAAACAAUAAUUACGCAUUUCAUGCGCCACCGGAAACGCAUAAUCCAGGGUUCACGGAAUGCUCCGACAUGCACCCAGCAAUAGCGAAAGUCGAGAACGCGAGCACUGGUCGUACGUCUCACCGAGGUUUUGGCAAGCCGGAGUAGAUAGCAAUGCAGAUUAGGCGGUGUCGUACGCAACGAGUGCGUGCCUAACCAUACUGGAAUAGAGUCCGAACGCAACUGUCAA